AAAUUGAAGAGUUUGAUCAUGGCUCAGAUUGAACGCUGGCGGCAGGCCUAACACAUGCAAGUCGAACGGUAACAGGAAGAAGCUUGCUUCUUUGCUGACGAGUGGCGGACGGGUGAGUAAUGUCUGGGAAACUGCCUGAUGGAGGGGGAUAACUACUGGAAACGGUAGCUAAUACCGCAUAACGUCGCAAGACCAAAGAGGGGGAGCUUCGGGCCUCUUGCCAUCGGAUGUGCCCAGAUGGGAUUAGCUUGUUGGUGGGGUAACGGCUCACC
rnacentral:rRNA from 1 species